GCCCAGAUGAGCGCCAGUGGUCUGGUGUGCGGGCUUCAAACCCGUAGCAGAUGAGAUUCCGAGUGGUCCGAUUGCACCUUCUGGGCG
rnacentral:tRNA from 1 species